rnacentral:rRNA from 1 species
UACGUAGGGGGCAAGCGUUGUCCGGAAUCAUUGGGCGUAAAGAGCGUGUAGGCGGCCAGAUAAGUCCGCUGUGAAAUCUCGAGGCUCAACUUCGAGCUGUCGGUGGAAACUGUCUGGCUAGAGUCCGGAAGAGGAGAAUGGAAUUCCUGGUGUAGCGGUGAAAUGCGCAGAUAUCAGGAGGAAUACCGGUGGCGAAGGCGGCAUCCUGGACCGACAUUGACGCUGAACGGCGAAAGCUAGGGGAGCAAACGGG